ensembl:lncRNA
GUACUGCAUCACAGCCAAACAGUGAACAAGCUGCGGUUCAUCAAACCGAGAUUAGCGUGCUCCCUGUUCAGGAAACUUGGAGCAGUCAAAGUCUUACUAGUGCUCUUCCAGAAAGUGAAAAUCUGACUAGCAAUGAAGGUGAAGGCUUCACUCCCGAUUGUCAAGUUCAACCUUCAACACACUUGCGAGAGUCUAGUGAUAAGAACCUAGGUAGCCUCACACAGGCUAACAGUGUGUUUCAGACCCCUUUGCAAGAGCAGAGCAGUUCUUGCAACACUAGUAGUCAAGUAGAGCAUGAAAGUCUUGGUCGGCUUGACAUCCCUGGUGCCGGAAUGACGGAGGGAUCAAAAAAGGAGUCGUCACUAGGUGUUGCAUCAUUUCAGUCUUCUGACACACACAGUUCAUCUGACAACUGUGCACCUUUGUAUUCUAGUAGCCAGCAAUGGGAAACUGGCGCUGUUACCUGUAGUGAACAGACAUUGACAGCAGACUCUGAUUUGAGGCCAGAGCAAAGAGAAGAACCCUUGGUUGUUUCUGAGAACAAAGUGGACAAGAGUGGGGAAGACGUCAGCGAAACAGAUUGCACUCCAAGUACAUCUAUUGGUUUAUGUAGAUCCAGCUCUGAAGAAACUACUAAACCACUGCCGAGAACAACCAGUGUCCAAGAGGAUACAGAAAAGGGUGAUGCAAGAGUGCAAGACGAAAGUACCUCAAGGUUCUCCAGUGAGCCAUUAGCUACAGUUGAUGCUCAGCCAGAGAAACAUGAGCAAGGCCUUCAAACAGCUUCAGCAACAAAUGUGUCUUGCUGCACCAGUCCAGAAAGAAUCCCUGAGGAGCCCAUGGAUAUGUCUGAAGAUGUUUCAGACAAGAACCGAAUCACAGAAACAGAUGGGGUGAGGGUGUUAUCCUUAGAAGAAGGUGCAACAACCCAAGCUCUACCUGAAAGCGAAGCUGAUGUAGACGCAUCAGACCAGCUUGCUGUUGAGGAGAAUCCUAUGAAAUCAGACCUUCAGGCUAAUGUAGAACAGGGUCAAAGCAGUGCUGCUGUCCAGCCUGAUCAUCAGGCAGAGCCUCCCAGCGGUGUGACCUCAGGAAGUUCCUCCCCGAUAUCAGUCAUGGAGAGAGAUUCCGAUUCAUCUGG